rnacentral:rRNA from 1 species
AGAGUUUGAUCAUGGCUCAGGAUGAACGCUAGCUACAGGCUUAACACAUGCAAGUCGAGGGGAAACGACAUCGAAAGCUUGCUUUUGAUGGGCGUCGACCGGCGCACGGGUGAGUAACGCGUAUCCAACCUGCCCACCACUUGGGGAUAACCUUGCGAAAGUAAGACUAAUACCCGAUGAUAUCCCUAGAAGACAUCUGAAAGGGAUUAAAGAUUUAUCGGUGAUGGAUGGGGAUGCGUCUGAUUAGCUUGUUGGCGGGGUAACGGCCCACCAAGGCAACGAUCAGUAGGGGUUCUGAGAGGAAGGUCCCCCACAUUGGAACUGAGACACGGUCCAAACUCCUACGGGAGGCAGCAGUGAGGAAUAUUGGUCAAUGGGCGAGAGCCUGAACCAGCCAAGUAGCGUGCAGGACGACGGCCCUAUGGGUUGUAAACUGCUUUUAUAAGGGAAUAAAGUGAGUCUCGUGAGACUUUUUGCAUGUACCUUAUGAAUAAGGACCGGCUAAUUCCGUGCCAGCAGCCGCGGUAAUACGGAAGGUCCGGGCGUUAUCCGGAUUUAUUGGGUUUAAAGGGAGCGUAGGCCGGAGAUUAAGCGUGUUGUGAAAUGUAGACGCUCAACGUCUGCACUGCAGCGCGAACUGGUUUCCUUGAGUACGCACAAAGUGGGCGGAAUUCGUGGUGUAGCGGUGAAAUGCUUAGAUAUCACGAAGAACUCCGAUUGCGAAGGCAGCUCACUGGAGCGCAACUGACGCUGAAGCUCGAAAGUGCGGGUAUCGAACAGGAUUAGAUACCCUGGUAGUCCGCACGGUAAACGAUGGAUGCCCGCUGUUGGUCUGAAUAGGUCAGCGGCCAAGCGA